rnacentral:lncRNA from 1 species
CUGCCACAAAAGAUAACUGUAGCCACAAAUUUGGCUGGCCUUAGGACAAGUUCAUGGAGGAUGACCCUGUUUCUCACCUGUGCUCUUGAGUGUGGGGGGGGAGAUGCCUCUGAAUGCCCAUUGCUGAGAAUCACAAGUGGGGAGGGUGUUGUCGGCCCCUGGAAGAAGAGCAUGUUGGACUCCGUGGGCCUUUGGCCUGUUCCAGCAGAGCUCUUUUUCCAUACUUAUAACCCAAAGUUAGAGAGACUCCCUUCAGGAAUCUGUGGCGGGAGUAGACAGUGAUAAUCAGGAUCCCCUGAUAACUGUCAUUGUUCAGUGUGGAUCACCUAAGUUUCCUGACAAUGCAGAACUUCAUCCCCAAAAUUAUUUGUGGAACAAACAGCCAUGUUUGCUCACUUGGCCGAGUCAGGGGGUUGUGAAGAGGUGAGAUUCAUUGGGAGACCUUAGGCUAGGAGGUGUUUAGGGCUCACAGGACAGUCAUCCUUAGUAUUGCCUCUCUCUGCAAAAAAAGAAGAAAAGUUUGGGGCAUGUUAAAUCCAUGUCUAAUUAAAAGAGCAGCGACUGUCGCUGUGGAGUCUGGAUAAGGAGAGCUCUAGUGAUCAGUCACAUGUCGCUUACCAAUGAAGAAGCCAUGAAGGAUUUGAAGUCUGCUUGCCAGUAAUGUCUUAUACAUCUUUGCUAGUUUAGUAGGGGUCAAAUACCACUGGUACAUCAUUUUCAUAUCAUUUUCUUUAAAUGUGCAACAUUCCAUAAAUUUUAAAUAACCUUUCCCAAUCUGCCACCUGAAUAUUAUGUCCCAAAUCCUUUGCCCAAUGUAUCAUUCCCAACUUGACCUGUUAAUCUUUUGUAUGCCACUCUAAAAGCAAGCUAUACAUUUUAGAUAAUAAUUUAACAUUAUUUUCUCACAAAUCUUUUUGAAAUCUUGAUAUUUCACAACUAAAACCUUUAUUUUUAACUAUCUUAAAUAUAUCAUUCAUAAAUAGGACUGUUCUUAAACCGAGGUACCACUGAAUUCACUUUUUUCUAAGAUAUUGCUUCUACAGGGUGUUUUUUUGCUGUACUAAGUUCUUGUAUAUUUCUCAUACCAUAAAGAUUGAUUUUCUUAGAUCAUUCUGAACACCUUUAUGCACCUUAGCUUCUCAUACCAUAAGUAUGCAUGCCAUCCAAAUCUGUUGUCAUAUCCUUCCAAAUCUAGUAAAUCUGCAUUUUUCAAUAUUAUCCAUUCCAAGAGCCAGCAAAGCCAGGACACCUCUUAAUAUAAUUUUAAAUCUGGCAGGGCGAAGCCUCUUUCUUUAGCAUCUGUUAGCAAUUAAUAUUUUAUUCUAGGUCUCUUCCUUUGCCAGAAAUAUCUUUUUGCCAUUCAUUGAGGCAUUCUGUGUUGCUGAUCACCAGGACGGACUGAAAUAAAAAUAACAUUAUUGGCAUUAAAUUCAUUUUUAUAACUGAUAUUCUUCCCCCAAAAGAUAACUUCAUCCUACCCGAUAUUUCUAAAUUUCUCUAGAAUCUCUUUCCAAGUAUUUAUAUAAAUGUCUGUAUGUUAAUAUUUUUAGCUUUAAACCAUACCCCCAAAUAUUUAAUUUUCUUAUGUAUACCUAGAUCUGUAAGUUGUUGUAGCUCCUUUUAUAUUGUUCCGUCACGUUUUUCACUAAGGCCUUAGUUUUAUUUUUAUUUAAUUUAAAGCCUACUACUUGUCCAAAUUCUUGGAUCCUCUCCAGAACCUUUGGUAAACUAUUCUUUGGAUCUUCUACAGUAAUCACAAGGUCUGGUCCUGCUUGAAGGUUUUCCACAGGCGUCUUUGUGCCCUUCUUGGGCGCUGGACCUAAUGGACCACUUUUGUGUCCUUCAACCUAUGAUGACACACAAACGUCGCCAACAUCAUAUAGGGGAGGGAACAAGGGGAGGCAGCCCUCUGACAGGUGGAGGGGAAAGUGUCUUUAUUCCGACAUGUGACACCACCCCGUGGAAUGCCCUCCCAUCAGAUGUCAACGAAAUAAACAACUAUCUGACUUUUAGAAGACAUCUGAAGGCAGCCCUAUGUGGGGAAGUUUUUCAUGGUUGAAGUUUUAUUGCUCUGUAAUUAUUAUUAAUAAUAUUCUGUUGGGAGCUGCCCAGAGUGGGUAUGUUAUGUACUGAGUUGAAUAGGAUCCAAAGGGCAGCAGUCUGAUUGGUCCUAAAACAAGAGGGUCCAGAAUGAAGCAGUCGGAUUGGUCCUAGAACAAUGGGGUCCAGAAUGCAACAGAAUGAUUGGUCCACAGGAGCCACCCAAUCCAGCUCCAGGUGGAUGUGAAUCUGCAACCUGAUUGGCCUACGGGAGAAUCCCGGAAUUAGCCAAUCACGUGUGGCCCAUUGUGUAAAUAAUGUAUAUAAAGUAGACAUUCUGGGGGAACUUCCAUUCCUCCUCACCAACUAUGAGCUGAAUACAUAGCAUGAAAUCCACUCUCAACUCUGAGUAUAUUUCAGGGGCGUUGUCCAUUCUAGGCAAAGUGGCCACUCCAGUCAGCUUCUACCUGGGGUUCCCAAUGUGGCCUUUGGCCCCUCCCAUUUGUAAUGAGGGCUGCUUUUUGGACCAAGGAUGGUGUGGAAGGGGCUGCGUGGUGUUGCCUGUCAGCAGUGGGGGUGCGCAUCGGGCCAGACCCCCAACUCAGGGUGCCCGGGGCAAGGGGUGCGUGCCACCGCCAAGGAGCAGGGGAAGGUGCUGGAGGGGACCGAGGGAUAAAACCAAGCCGAAGGUGGAGGGGAUUAGGGCUUAUCUGCUCCCCUCGCCAAUAAUAUUUUUAUUCAAGUUGGCUCCCAUGCUUGUAGAGAUCGGUUGCUGGAGGCUGCGGGGGGGGGGGGGGCAAGGCUGCUUUUGCUCUCUGGUCCUCCUUGCAGGUUUUCCACAGGGGUCUGGGUGGCCCCUCUUGGGCGCUGGACCAAAUGGGACACUUUUGUGUCCUUCCUUCCACGGGGUGAGUGGAGGCUCACAGUGAACCUAUGAUGACACACAAAGGAGACCAACAUCAUGUAGGGGAUGGAGGAAGGGGAGGCAGCCCUUAGGCGGGGGGGAGGGGGGAGGUGUCUUUAUUCCAUCAUGUGCCACCACCCCGUGGAAAACGCAGGGAAAGGAGAGCAGGCUGCACCGGUCAGUAGCCCUGAUAGUGGAGCCAGAGUGAGUCCUGCCUGAUCUUUGAGAGGGGUCAAUUCCACAGGCAUGUGUUGUUCCAGCUGUUAGUAUCUAAGGAGAGAAAUCAGAUGCACCUACUGCCGAAAUGACGCUCCUUGGGGGAGCACUGUGUAUUUAGGGUGGGGCUCAGGAACGCAGGGAAGGUGCCCUGCAUAAUGUAUGGGGCAGCACAGCCCAUGGAGCCCCUUCCGGAAGCUGCCAGACUGCAACUCUCAUCCUCUCUGACCCCGGCAAUGCUGGAUGGGUUGGAGAGGAGCUGGAGUCCAGCAUUAUCCAGAGGACACCCCAUUUGAUGCCCCCGAUAGACAGAAUCCAGCCUGUAAAUAAGGAACGUUAAUGCAUCCACUCAAAACACAUUUAACUAAGCAGAAGCCCCACUCAACGCAAUAAGGUUUACUUCUGACAACGGGUGGAGAUGGUGAGGCUGUAUUUGCAGAGGGCAUUUGAAGAUGAUGCCCUGUUCAAUUUCUUUUUAUUUUUCUUCCUGUCUGAGGCCUCUAGAGCAAGAAGCUAUCCUGCGUGACAUGGGUCAAGGGGUUUAUUUUAUACUCCUCUAUUAAUCCAACGAUGCAUGCAUUUUCACAACUGCAUAAGGUCUUGUGGGGAGAGGAAGGUUUCCUAGAAUUGCAGAGUUGUGAGGGACCCUGAGGGUCAUCUAGUCCCACCCCCUGCAGUGCAGGAAACAUUUGCCCAACGUGGGGCUCAGACCCACAACCCUGGGAUUAAGAGUAUCGUCCUCUGCCAAUCAGACAUCUUAAAUAGAAAACAAGAUUGAAGGUGAGAAAAUUUAUUAGGACUUCUAAAAGUGUGACUGUCUCUUUAAGAAGUGAGCUGCAGAGGGAAUUCUGGGAAAAGGAAGGAAAAUGCAAAGCAAGAGCAACUUAUUUUUGUUUGGUUAUUUCUGCUGAUUUUGACUGGAAUGAAUCCUCUCAAAGGGCCCUUGGAAAACUGCCCAACCUGCUCUUGGCGGGUAAAUGGUUUUUAUGUCAGUCACUCUGGUCUGGAGAGAAACUCCUGCUGGGCCUGAGAGGCAGAUUUAGUCUCCUCAGGAGAUACUGAAGUGGGUUUUAUAUCCCCCCAGACAAAAGAAAGGGAGGAGGGUCUCUCCAGAGAACGAGGCUCCUGAGAACGUGUAGAGUUCGGCUCCUGAGUCAGCGUCAGAAAAAGACACACGUCCCCCUUCAUAGUCCAGAGUCACCCGGAUCCUCCUGGGCUCCUCACUCAGGGACAGAGGAGAGGAAACAGGGGAGGUGCAGGCAAAGUAGCCCCCUCCCCACUUCCCCACAGCCCAGAUCCCCCACUCAGGGCUUAAGUCAAAGAUGCCCUUUCUCUCCACAGACUUCCUGGCGACCCCCAGAGCCCACCAUUCCCCACUUUCCACAGUGACUUCCCAGAAAUGGCUGCCUGCUGUGAAUCCCUCACGUCCCAACACACAAGGCCGGUCACUGAAUCUCUCAGGAUUGUCAGGCAGGGCUUGAGGUUUGUCUCCCCUUCUCACGCUUUUCCCAUCCUCGGACAGGAUGAGUUCAGGAUGGGCUGUGUCUGGAUCCAGAGUGACAUUUGCUGUUGGGAAGAAGAUGAGGGAAAGAGAAGAAUAUGCAGAGUCAGCUGAGAGACAGAAAUGGACAUACUGAUAAUAAUAAUAAAACCCCCCGAAAACCCCAGGUUCCCUUUCAGAUCAAGGGGAUUUCUUUGCAUCGCAUGCUAGACUGAGACCCCUGACUCUCAUCAGAAUAAAUAUCUUCCUUCUUGUUUUUUAAAUCAGUUCCCUUCACUUUCUUAUAUCCGAUGUGUAUUAUUCCUGCCCUUCUCUCAUCCCAGGCAUUUUCUAGGAGGAAAAACCACCCAUUAAACCUUUUACUCAGCUCUUCUGUGUUAUCUAAGGGGAAAGAGAGGAGAAUUGGAGGAGGCAGGAGAGAGAGAAGCUGCUUUCCUCUGACAAUCUCUGUGGGAAUUGGCCUUUGGGGACCUCUGGUUGGGCUGGGGGAGGAGGACCCCCCUCUUCUAACAACAACAGCAACAACAAAUUAUAUUUGCCUACUGCCCUUCAUCUACAGGUCUCAGGGUGGUUCACAGCAUAAAAAUACAACAUAAAACCACAUAUAGGCCUCCCCUCACUUUCACGGGGGUCACGUUCUGGGCCCUCGUGCCCACAAGUCAAAAUCGCAUUAAGUGGGGAGCCUGUUUAUUCCAGCUCUCCAUCUCUCUCACCCACUUGGUCUCUCCUUGCCUUCCUCCCCACCAUCUUGGAAGUUUAGGCCUUGCCGCCAGGGAAGAGGAGGCAGGUGGCAGGGCAAUUUUACAAAGGACUGCUUAUUCCAUGCUUCUCUUUUGGAUGUAACAUAUACCAUAAGACUAGUUCCCUGGGAGGAGGAGGAAUAACUCAAAAAGUUACCAGUUAGGGGCUUAGACAUUCAUGGCAGGCAAGUGUAGAGUUGCUGUAUUUCGAAGAGCAAAAAGAGGACACAUUUGCCAACUUCUACUCUUAACCAUGGAUCGCUAUGACAACACUCAUUUUAAAUACCCCUACUCUAUGUAGGCUUUCAAAGCUGUGAUAUACUGCUAGUAGCAAUGUUCUUAACUUUCAACAACCAAAUAAUAAUAAUAAUAAUAAUAAUAAUAAUAAUUGCUCCCUCACUUGCCACUUUAAAGUAUUUGGGCUCGUGUUCACAUCUUUGUGAAUGCAAGUGUGCACAGAACAAUUUAUUAAACUGUUAAACAUGUACAUAUGGACUCUCCUUAAGGGCAGGGGGGUGUUAACUCUCGCCCUCCCAGAUUCCUCCUCCAAGAUCUUGUAGCUGAGCCAGCGUCCUUUUAGUUCAGCCACAAGAGAAGGGUUUUAUGCAGGAUGUGGCUAGCUUAAGAUGCUGCUCUGUUGCGAUUCUUUGCUCUAGGCUAGCUUAGCUGGGUGCCUUAGAUCUGAAUCUAAUGCACUAGAAUUUUUUUUCAUGGGUUACUGUAAACCAAACCAAGCAACUUGAGACAUUUUGCCAAAUUUUAAAAAUCCGCCCAGGGGAGAAAUUUUAACCAUGAAAAUAGAGGACCUGUCUGAGAAAAAGGUCACAUGGAAAAGCAACCCAACUCUCUCUAGGCAGGAAUGAAACUCUUCCCUCUUUUAUCUGAUCCUUCUGGGCAGUUUCUCUCCCCCCCCCCCUUCUGCACCUUCAAGUCCACCCUCUCUGCCUUUGUGGUACAAACAGCAGGGGGAGAGUCAAGCUGUACAAAAGAGACUCUUGACCCCCAUGAAACACUAGUCCCCCUCCUGUGAAUUGGGGUCUUCAUGUGAAAUUUACCUUUCUGAAGAUUUCUGAAUGACUGAACAUCUGAGGAAGCAAAAAGACAGGCUUAACAGGCAACAAUGCAGUAGCUUAAAAAGAAAUCUUUUUUUACAAAACAUCAUCAAAUCAUAGCAUCUGUUGUUUCCUUAUUUCAAGCAAAAGAUGAAAUCAUGCAAAGACAACAACUGUAGGACUAAGUAGUGAUGUUAAUUAUUCUCCAAAAUAUAAUUCUUGAGAAUGUAAUAUCACUAGGCCUAAGGAAUUAAAACAACUAACGAGUUUAGCUGUGAUUCCCGCAUUGCAGGGGACUGGACUAGAUAAUCCUUGGGAUCCUUUCAGACUCUGCUAUUCCAUGAUUUCAUGGGAAAAUCAUAAAUGGUAAACCAUACUAGAAAAUGGGGGAAUACAAUCAUUCAAAAUCCACAAAUGAAAUGGGGAUCUGAACUGGAUGGAUGAAGAAAGGUUUAACAUCUGCCCCAAGUAAACUGGUGGGGAAAAGCUGUUGAAACUGGAAUUUCCAAUUAUGCUGACAAACCAAAUUGCAAAGGAAAAAUUGGCAGAGCUUUUCACUGUAAUUCCAAGGGUCUUGUGCAAUGGGAAGUCCUCUCUCAUAGAAUGGGGCUGAUCUCCUAAGAACUGGGGGAACUCUGAGGAGAUGGGGAUGGCUGAAGCACGAGAAAUGGCUGGUGAGGUUGAAACUCUGAGGAAGAGGCGGCUCAGGCCUUGCUCUGCUGCUGGGAGACCAGCCUGGGCAGGAGGUGGAGGAGGGACUGUGUGCUUGCGGGUGCCCCUUUUAACACACUUCACGAGGGGGAAAUCCAAGCAAAUCAAGAGAAGCCCCAAAAGAACAUCCUCAGAUUGUGUGGAGGGAUAACAAAAUGCAAGGAAGAUUCCUUAUACAUGAGAACUCAACAAGAUGGACAUUGAACUGACCCUGCAGGAUGCUCCUUAAGGGCUUUUGUAAGAUAUUGUAAGGCUCUGAGGCUUUUCCCUACAAACAAGCAGUAUAUAGAUUUUAAGAAAGAAAGCAAAAUCUAUAAAAUUAAGGGAGAAACCAGGAUAAUAGUCUAUAGGCAGGAAAGGAACUGGCGACUGGUGUGCAGGUUCUUCGCAGGGACAAGCUCUGCCCCCAAGCCAAGUCUUCAAACCCCUCCCAGUUCAUUCAUGGGACAGACAAUGUACCCAAACGCCAGUAGAGGACUGUUUCCCAGAGUGACGCCAUUGAUGGGGGUCCCAAAGUCUGCAGAACAGACGGUUCAACACUCAUGAAAUAUCAGUCCCCAUCCCUCUUGUGAAAUUGUUCCUCCCCUGGAAAUUUACCUUUCUGAAUCGGUUUUCUGUAUAAAAGAGCAUCUGAGGAAGCAGAAAGAUAUAAAGUGUAAGGGCAACACUCUUCCACCAGAAAUAAAUAUCCAUACAAAAGUAACACUUCAUAACGUGGCAUCCUUAAAUUCAAGUACAAUUAUUAAAUAUUAAUUAAACUGUGCAAAAAAAUAGUUAAAAACAAGAAAAUCAUAGGAAGAAUCUAUGAAAAUAACUAAAGCUUUAAAACUCAGUAAUCAUAAAGCAAGCUUACAAUUAAGAGAAUAAAAAAAUUCAGCAUGAAUUUUGCUGGUCUCUGAACUUUGUCCCUAAAUUGGGCUCUACGUUGGAGGACUGGAGGGGAGGCAGGGCAAUAGGAAUCCCGUAAAAGGAGGCAGAGGGGAGAUGGAGGCAGCCUUAACAUCUUCCCCAAGUAAAGUGGUGGGGGGAAUCAUUAAAGCCAAAAUUGUGAAACAUAAGGAGAAGGAAAGUUUGAUGAGGGAGGAUUGGCAGAGCUCUCAGGCAAAAGGAAACCCUUCCUCACAAACCUUCUACAAAUCUUUAAGGUUGUUAACAAGCAUAAUUGUGCCCUUUGGGGCUCAUGUGCUCUUGCUUCCACUCUCAAUGGGGGAACUCUCAGGAGAUCUUGAAGGCUGAAGCCCUAGAUAUGGCAGCUGCAGGGGGACGUCUGAGGAGGAGACGGUUCAGGCCUUGGCUCCAGGGCUGAGAAAGAAGCCUGAGCAGGAGGCAGAGGGGGAACUGGGGGCUUCUUAAUACCCUUUGACCCCAUUCAGAGCAGGAGAACCUCCAAAAGGACAAACUCAGAUUGUGCAGACAGGGAUCCACAAGGAAAAGGAGGCUUCGUAUAACUGUAAACAGAUGCACAUGGGAGGAAAAAAUCCUGACUUUGCUCUACACUCUGGUUCAGGCUUUCUUUACAGGAUCCAGCGUCAUAAUAUACAUGGGCCAUUCUGGAGAACAGGAAAUGAAGGCUGGGGCACCAAGAAGGAAGGUAACCUGGGAUUGCUCAAUUCCAUGCAAUAAGAGCCUGGUAUGUUCAGUUCUGAAGAAGAAACAGAAUUCCCAGGGUGAAAUCCUGGCAGCCAGUUUUCAUUACCUUUAAAUUGUUUCAUUGCAUCCUCCACAAAAUCACAGGAUUCCAAGAUCCUGUUCCUCAGCUCUGGAGGGAAAGCCAGUGGCUUCUCUGGACUCUCUCUUUCCUCAUACCUGGUGAAAAGAAAAACAGUUAAUGGCCCCAUUUUGGCCCCAUCUCCCUGAUUAUUGCAGGAGAUCUCAAUAACAUGAACAAAGUUGAAGUUCAUUUUGCAACAGGUAAUUUUCAGGGUUCAGCUUCAUCUCUUGACACCCACCUCCAAGCCCUGGUCAGUGGCUUCAUAAGGAUGCAAAACAGCACGAGAGACAAGAUGUAACCCCAAGCGACACCACCGGAGGACUCCCAUGGCUUCAAACUAUGCUGCCCCAAACAACUUUCUGGGAAGGUCCCAGGACUUAAGAACCAAACCCCUGAGGUGGAAUGCCUGCAACCCCUCCCUCCCUGAGCUUCUCCAGAGGAUGUGAGUGAUGUCCAAAGCUGCCAAGUGGUCAAGGAAAACAACCUCCACCCUCCCUUCACCCCCUCUCUCACCCAGGAAGGGCACAACCCCAUGCCCCAUUGGACUCUCCCUCCAGAGGCAGGAAACAACCGGACUUUCACCCCCCCCACUCAAGACCACCUUCAGCCUCUCACGGUGGAAAUGCUCCCCCAAAAAAGAACCCACCCAUUCUAGCCCUACAGACCUUCCCUCUCUCUGUGCCUCAAAGGGGCUGAGUUACCAGAGUUGAGGGGCUUCUAGUUGGACAUUGAAAUCUGUUGGUACAUCCUAAGGUCUUCUGAAGCAUCUUUGGCACUUUCUCUUCUAGAUGUUUGAAAUUACCACAAAGUCCAUGAAUGUGCAAGAAAGUGCAAGAGAAAGAAAAGAGCGCCUAUCCCUUUGUGAAGUGAUGUGGGAAGGGAGGGAGGAGGCAGUUGACCUUGAACCUUAGAGAGAGAAUUGGGGGGCUACAAGUUCAGAAGAGGGGGCUCUACUUUUACCUGUGAGGUGCUGCAGGGAGUGAGUCCUACAGUCUCCCCCCUGCAGCCCCUGGAGGGCCAUGUCUGAGGUUCUGGCAUCUCAGCUUCAAAGAGUGAUGCUAAUGGAAAUGAGCCAGAUCCACUUACCUCUGCAAGGUCCUUCUCACAUCCUAGAGGGGAAAGGAGAAGGGAAUUCACUGCACACCACAGGCCACACUAGGAAGACCCCCUCAGACCCUGGCCCUCAGAUGUCAGUCUGCCUGGCACAUGCCAAGGUUUUGGGUAGGAAUGGCUGAAUCAGCCAGUUUUGGUUUCUCGCAGCUUUUAUUUUCCCAGUCUGAAAUUAUUAAUUGUUCUGAGAUUUCAAGUUCUCCACAUUUCCAUAUUUUAAAAACUUUAAUCCAGUUUGCAUUGUGCUAUUCAGACAAACGUAAGCCUACAGGAUAAUCCUGCCAGGGCACCGUCCCAGUCCCCAAAUGUCAAAUUCUAUUUUCCUUCUGGAAAUAAAAAACACCUGCAGCAUAAAAUGUCUCCAAAGGGGUAAUAAAACAACUCCGUGUUUCUUUGGGCUCAUCCACACUUCUCCCUUUCCUGUGCCCAGAAAACACGAGUCCAAGUGGUUUUAUCUUUGCCCUGCCGCUUUCCCUCAGGAAAAACCUGCUCCUUAGAGCAACAUCAAAGCAAACGUCAAUCUGGAUAAAACCUGGCUGAGGUUUGCUCUAAUUCAGCAGUAAAGAGCGGGUUUUCCUGGAGGAAAGGGGUGGGACAAGCAGCAGUCUGGAUGAGUCCCUCUGUCUUGCUCUUUGGUCACUGUGACUGAGCACCAUUUUGGGCCCAUCUGUGUCCAUGGGGAAGGGGAUCAACCCAGAAGUUGUGGAGGAAACGGGAAGAGAAGCUUGUUCAAGAGACUGGCUCAUGUCGGAAGGAGGCCUGAACGCAUCCCAGACGAAGCCCCCCACAGCUGAAAGGCAUUCGGAGACAAAGCAUCAGCAAAGAGCAGAAGAUCAGCUCCUGUUCCAUCAAGAACACAGACGAAUCUCUAGUCUGCAUUCAGGUGAGUUAAGCAUCCCAGGUCUCUUUGGUUUUCCUGUCCAUUACAAACCUGACUAGAGGCUCCAUCAACUCAGCCCCUACACUAUUUGCAUGCAUGAAAGGGGCAGCCUUUUCCUAGAGCCCAACCUUGGGCUGUUCCUGCCACCAUCUUACCUGCAGGAGUUCACUCGCUGGCUGCUGACUCUUCUCCUCCAUCUCCUGGAUGAUCCUCUCAAGAGAGGAGAGUUUCCUGGAGAGUCUGGCCAGCUGCUCAUCCCUUCUCCCUGCAAUCUCCUUCUCCACCUCUUCCACACGAGUCAGCAAACGUUUUUUUUGUUCUUCCAGGAACUGGCGCAGUUCUCUGAACUUCUCCACAGUCUUCAGCCUCUCCGUUUCUGUUAAUUUCUGCAAGAAAAGAGGAGGUCAGAGUGUGGAAGGUGGUCAGCCUUCAAAACACCAGGAAGAGAAUUGUGAGAAUUCCACAGGGAGGACACUUCUGAUUUUUCAGAGACAUGAAAUCUUCAGUGGCUAAAGAAGUAAGCCUUUAUUUUGAGGGGAGGCCCUCUCCAUUGCUGUUUCUGUUGACUUCGAAUUUGGAGAGGGCUACAGCCUAAAGGAAGGAGCAUUUGUUUUCUAGCCAUGGAUAUGUGGGAUGUAAAAACGUAUUGCAGUCAGAUACAACAGUCCUACAAUGCACAUGCUGGGGAAUGCUUUGUAUCACUCAGGAGAAAACUUGCUAGUUCCUCCUGAGCUGAGACAGACUUCCUUUGCAUGUGAGUGAAUGUGAGUGUGGCCUGUUCUUGGGAGAGGAGCACACGGCCUCCAUGUUCUGCUCUGUGUCUUCUCCAUUGUGUGUUCCUAGGAGUUAGGAGAAGUGACUGCUCAGUCGCAGUCACUUGAUACUAUUUCCAUUAUGGGAUAAUUCACAAAGUUAUAUGUUGUUCUGUAAAUUAAGUCUGCCUUCAGGAAUCUCAUUGUGAACUGGAUGAUUGUGAGUAAACUAGUUUUCUGUUAACUUUAAUCAGAUGGUCAUGUCUAUUCUUUUAGGAGGGAUAUAAAAUAGGGAAACCAGGAAUCCUAAAUAGUGAGGCUCAGAUGAGCCUGCAACUAGCUAACCGCUGUGUAAUUUAAAAGGGGGAUUGUUUAUCAUAGAAUCAUAGCGUUGGAAGAGACCACAAGGGCCAUCGAGUCCAACCCCCUGCCAAGCAGGAAACACCAUCAGAGCACUCCUGACAUAUGGUUGUCAAGCCUCUGCUUAAAGACCUCCAAAGAAGGAGACUCCACCACACUCCUUGGCAGCAAAUUCCACUGUCGAACAGCUCUUACUGUCAGGAAGUUCUUCCAGAGUUUAACAACUCUGCUAAGUUAUAAAACUUGCCAGCGAAAGUUAUGGAUAUAAUAAAAUAAUAUAUCUUCUCCUGCCUCCCUAAACAUCCCCACAGGAUAUUCCCUGCAUGUUUUGGGGAAUGGCAUAACCAGAGUUCAUAGCUGUCCAGAGAACGUCUGUGGACAUAAAACACCCUCAGUUUAGACUGGGACCAUGGAGGUGUAGGAAGGCAACAGAAACAGAGGAGGAUGAAGAGAAAGUGCAGAGUUUAUCCCCGUAGCUCCCUGAAUUUCCUAAAGAUGAACAAGAGCGCACAUUUAGAAAGACAAUUCUUUAGUAAUAUUGAUGGUAAAUCAGGAUUUGAACUGAACUACUUCCACCCUCUCAGCUCACAAGUCCUCAGGCUCCUCCUUCAGUGCUAUUCAUAUAAUAAACAACAAUGGAAAAUAAACUCAAAUUAGCUGCAUUCAAAAGUGAAUUUGCCUAAUUUACUAUUGCUGAAAAAAUAUGGAGAAUGAAACAGAGCAAUCUUUUGAAAUUCACACCUCUGAAUUUUUCAAGGUUGAACAAGCCAGGUAAUGUUCACAAAAAAUGUAUUUAUGAGGGUAAAGUACAUUUCAAAAUAUUUAUACAAGGAGGUAGCCACCCUAACAUCUGAUUCAUUUUCAGAAUAAUAAAUGAAUAAACAAACUGAUAUGGAAAAAGGAGAAAUGGGGAGAAGCUGAAAUGGGCAGAUUUCCCCAUCCCUCCUCCAUCCUGACUCGACUCUUCAAGUGAUUGUUCCCUCACUAGUAACAAGAGUGGCACUUACCAGGAGGUCUUUGCUUUCCUUGUCCAGGGCUGCUUGAUGGGCCAGAAUUUCCUCUCUCUCUUUCCUCAGAAUCUCCAGGCGGCGACAGAUCUCUUCCUAAAGAGAAAAGGAAAAAGUCAGGUCUGAUUGAGACACACAGAGAGGAGGUGAAUAGUGUGCUGGCUUCUUGCGCCCAGUGGUCUUGCUAUAAUAGCAGAGUAGUUUUUUUUGAGGAAAUAAAAGUCCAGAGGUUUUCAACCUUUUUGGGUCCAUGACUCCCUGGACCAGCUACCUUUUUUCUGUGCCAGCCCUGUGGGGCUCAGGGACCCAGUUAGGUCACCCCUUGCUUACAGACUUCUACCUAGUCUUUGCAGAUGCUACUCAGGGAUAUCAAGGGAGCUCCCUUUGUCCCCCUGGAAGAGAAAAAGACUUCAACUCCCUCCUCCCAGCCAUGCCAGGAGCCCUCAGGCUCCCCCUGGGCUGCUUUUUACAUAAUAAACAACCACCAAUUCAUGCCAUGCCUACUUUGGACCUGAGAAUUAAAAAGAAAACCUCCCAAGAAGAAUCCACAGCUAUUUCUCCCCCUCAAGAUCCAGGGAUCUCCUACCUUGUACUUCUCGGAAGCCUCCUCCAGAGGAAUCACCUCGUGGUGUCUGUGCUCCUUGGAUCUGUCACAAACCACACAGAUGGGGGCUUCAUCCUCUUUGCAGAAGAGCUUCAGGGGCUCCUGGUGAUCCUUGCAGACUCCUCCUUUUCCUCCUUCCUCCUUUCCCUCUUGAAGGCUGAGAUUCUUCGCUAUUUCUGCCACAUUAGCCAGUUGCCGGUUGGGGAUGAGGCUCCUUCUCUGGACUCUUUCUCUGCACUGAGGGCAGGAAGCCUCUGCCUCUGAUUCCCCCCAGCACUGGAUCAAGCAGGAUCGGCAGAAGUUGUGCCCACACUCUGGGAUGAUCACUGGAUCCUUAAAAUAUUCCAGGCAGAUGGAGCAAGUGGCUUCAUCGCAAAGAUUCUUGACGUGAAGUCCAGAAGCAGCCAUGGCUCCCUUGCACAGAAGAUCCGAGUUAAGUUUCACUUUCUCAGUUUUCAGCUACUGGCAGUUUCCCUUCCUGGAAAUGACUCAGAAACUCAGUGACCACGUGAUCUUUUUUUUUUUUUUUUUUUUUUGUCCCCAGGUCUUGGCAGUUGCUGAAUGUUUAUUCUUCCCAUGCUUUUGAUUACGCAUACAAACACGCAGGUGCCUAGUAAUUUGUGGUAUUCAUACUGUAACAUUUUCAUUCAAAGGCUUGCUUGUCAUUUUUGAAUUGGAGAACAUCUGCUGCCGCCCUAAAUGGACGGCAAAUUUUGAUUUAGCAAGUGGGACUUGAUUCUGUGAAGAUAACUCUGUUAUAAGAAUUUCAAGGUCUUAUAUAUCUAAAAUAAAUGUUCAUAAAUGUACCAAGCAAACACAUACAUAAAUGUAUAAACCACAUGUCUGAAACCCCACAGAAAAAGUCCUGAAACCAUUUUGUCUCUCCCAAAUGACCUCAAAUAUUUCUCUGCAAGGUCGAAAGAAAUGGGGAACCUCCCCAUUGUCUCUUUGCUCACUAAUCCUGUCUCAAGGGCACAUUUAAGAUGUGAAUAGGGUGAGCCUGUGACCUGGAUUCAGGAGAGUAGUUAUCAUAACAAAAGAGCAGCCAGGAUGCCCAGGUAAUCCAAUCAGGUAACCUGGCAGACAGGGUAAAAACAAUGCACUCAGAUUUAUUGUGUAGUCCGCCCCUUCUCUGAUGUUUCUGGGGGGGGGGUGGUCUAGGGCUACAGGGUGGGCAAUUUCAAAGUCUAUAUAAGGGCGGGCACACCUUUGUCCGGGUCCUCCUCCGUCCUCCUGCCUGUGAGGGGAGCACCCUGUUGCAACAGCUUUAAUAAAGAUCAGGCUUAUAGCCACUUUGCUUUCAUAUAUCCUGGUCUGGUCUCUGUUCAUUUCCCGGCCAGUUUGAGCCUUAAAGGUACGCUCUCUCCGAAGGUCCAGUCUUCCUUAAGAAGGUGAACCCCUUGAAGGCACCUCUCAAUAUUCUUAUUUCCUUAAUUACACAUUUACGGUAUUCAAAAGCCAAUUGAAACGAUCCUAGUUUAAUGAGUGCAACAAAACAGAUGAACUUGUUCCAGUGAUGCCAGCUUUUCCAAGUCUGGUAGUCAUUUCCACCACCAGCUCCCUGCUGCCUCUUAGCGCCCCCCCCCCCAUGUCAUGCCCCCUCCCCUUUCCCAGGGGGCAACACUGCCCACUUUGAGAAGCACUGCUUACAACACUAGCAUGAGCACUUCAAAUUAACCCCAGAAACAACCCGGCAGCCAAGGCAGCUGUUUUAGGGGUUCUGUGAGUACCAGCGGCAACCCUACCCAGGGAUCUGGCUGAUAGUCGUCUCCGAGGGCACAGCACACGGCAACAACCCAAUCUGGAAGUCCCUGGAGAAACUGGAUCAAGCGCUCUGACCUGCCACUUCCACGUCUCAGCUUUCAGGAAAUCCCGCCAGGGCCACGGCUUGGGCGCAGCUCCCUGGCCCCUCUUCCCUGACCCAGCCCUGCAGCUCGUGAGGAAGGAUGGCGAGGAACUGCUCCAGGGUCAGCAGGUCCACAGUAGUGUUCUGAAUAAUGUUUUUUAUAGGGUAGGGCAGGGGGCGCAGGAGCAAUGCCCCCCCAAAAAAGUUUGGGAUCCGCUGGAAGUAUCUGGGCUACAAGAAUCUGUGGCUCCCCCUGCCUGAAUCUGUUCUGGGUUUCCCCCUGACCUUCCCUAGCAGAUCUGGGUGGGCAGGAAGGGGAGGAAGGGGACAAAGUCUCCUUGUGCUAGUCCAGGGGCGCCGACUUAUAAAAAAUAUUGGGGGGGUCCAUACCGGGGUCCUGCCGCUGGUUCGCUCGGGUAGCCGGGAGAACGCAGUUCAAGGUGGCGGUGUUGGGGAGAGACCCUCGCUCAGGGCGCCACAAGACUUGGCGGCCGGCGGCCUAUCUGGGGGGUUUUGGAGCGUAUUUCGGCGGAGCGAUUGGGGAGGAGGGGGCUUGUUGCCAGAUUCUUCAGCUGGGCCGGAGAUCCGCUGCUGGGGGUCCCUGGGCCGAGUUGUGAGCACGGCCUGCUGAAGGGAGAUCCAGCCGAUUGCGCGACGGGGACGGCCGGGGCUCUCCGGCUAGGGCGCGCGGCUGGCUGGCUGGCGAGGGAGCAGGUGGGGAGGAGGCGGGGGUCCUCACUCUCUUAGGAAAUGCACCCGCGCGCCCGAUUGCCACGAAGUCCGAAGGGUGCGUGUGUGGAAUUAAAAAGCAAAAACGAGAUACGGGCAGGGCAGGCAAAGAGUUUUCCACAAGAGGAUGGAGGACAGCUUGAAGAGAAAAUCACUCAGGAUGAGACAGUCAAAUCAGCCAUGAUAAAAUGGGCUCAGGAUAUUGGGUAUAACAUCAUGUUUGAGGACUGGGAAAGGUUAUGGACCACCGGAAUGAAAUUCACGGCAUGUAAUGCCUUGAAGGAAAAUAUUAUGAAAAUGAUUUAUAGGUGGUACAUGACCCCAGUCAAGCUUGCAAAAAUAUAUCACCUGUCUGAUAAUAAAUGUUGGAAAUGUAAGGAGGCUGAAGGGACAUUCUUUCACCUCUGGUGGACUUGUCCAAAAGUGAAGGCCUUCUGGGAAAUGAUCUAUAAUGAGUUAAAAAAGGUAUUUAAGUAUACCUUUCCCAAGAAACCAGAGGCCUUCCUCUUGGGCAUUGUUGGCCAGAAAGUGUUAAAGAAGGAUAGAACUUUCUUUAUGUAUGCAACUACAGCAGCAAGAAUACUUAUCGCAAAAUAUUGGAAGACACAAGAUUUGCCCACACUGGAAGAGUGGCAGACGCAAUUGAUGGACUACAUGGAACUGGCUGAAAUGACUGGCAGAAUCCGAGAUUUGGGAGAAGAAACAACGGAAGAGGACUGGAAAAAAUUUAAGGACUAUUUACAAAAACAAUAUAAGUUGUAUGAAUGUUAAAAAUUUACACGAUUCGGAAACUAUAGCUUCAGCAAUUAGAUUUGGGAAACAGGAAAUUAUAUUUUAAGUAAGAAAAGGUCAAAAUCUAAGGUAAUACUAUGUUUAAUUUAAGAUAUAAGUAACUGAUGAAAAGUAUGUUAAAUUUAGAGGUAUAGUAUUUGAAAAGUACAAAAUAAGGUACGAAACAAGGUAAUAAUUUGCUGAUAUCUUUAUUAUAAAGAAUGCAGGGUAAGGGAGAUGCGAGGAAGUCCAGUUAGUUAUAUAAAAAAUGUGUUGAAUGGUUGGUUUUCUUUUCUUCUUUUUCUUUUUUUCUUUUUCUUGUUCUUUUACUUUUUUCUUCAGUGUAUGUUUCUAACUUUGUAUUUGAAAACUUAAUAAAAUAUUUAUAUAUAAAAAAAGGGAAAAUCCUUUCGCUUUUCUGGGGCGCAGGAAAGUGUCAGAGCUGGAGGUUGGGGAAGGGACCCCCUUUGCUCUGCCCUCUUCUCCCAUCUUAGAUUCGCAUGGGGGUCCCCGCCCGAGCUUGCCUGGCCACCGGGCCACACAAGGGCCGCGCUCUACGCGGCGCACCUUGCUAGCCGCGCAGCUGUCCUCCGCGGCUGCGGAGCGGCCCUGCGCCGGUGCCCAGCCCCUCUGGGCGCUGCUCAAUGGGGUUGCCAAGGAGACAGGCCGGCCGCCCCCCUCCCCCGGCCCGGCGUCCCCCGGCCCGGCGCCCUAUAAAAGCCGCAGACGCGCCAAGCGUCGACAGGCAGAGCCAGCGCGGCGGCGGCGCUCUGCUGGAGGGGCGCCCGAGAUUAUUGGGGGGGCUCUGCCCCCCCAAACAAUUUUUUGAGGGGGCUCGGGCCCCCUCAGGCCCCAUGGAGUCGGCGCCUAUGUGCUAGUCCUAAACCUUGAGUUGGCGUACGCUUCAUUGAAUGCCACCCGAGAUGUGUAUCUGCUCCUGCUUGAAGCACCCCAGAACCCAGAAAAUAAGUCCACAAAGGACCUGGCCAGCUCCCAGUCUUGACUGGUGGCAUCUCUCAGGGGGUCUUGCAGCAGAGGACUUUUGGCAUCAUCUGCUACCAGGCUGCUUUUUAAUUGUAGGUCUCAGGGAUGGUGAGCGGGAUCUUCAUGCAAUGCUUGUGCCCUGUCCCUGAGCCCGUCGUCUUCCUCUCUUCUGUCCCUCACAGCCAAUGGAACAACGCUCCCAAUUCACCCCUGUUCCUUGCUUCCUCCUGAGGGACUGGAAGUGGCCGAAGCUGGGCUGACUGAGGUAAGUGAAGGUUAUCCUGAGGGAGGGCAAGGUUAGUGGCAGGCCUUGAGCAGGGCGAAUGUAACACCGAGCUAAGGAUCAGAGAGCACCUGAGCAUGUGCAGAGUGCAUAUGCCACAUCACUGAGCAACUUCCCAGCCCAGUUUAAUUUGUCUCAACCGUUUCUAUACCGCUUGAUUGCCAUUGUCUCUAAGCAGUGCACAAAGUAUUCCGUACAAUGAGAAAGAGUGGAAAUUAUUAAAAAAAUUCCUGUGAGGUGGGCUAGACAGAGCCUGGGACUGGCUCAAGGUCACCAAUGAGCUUCAUGCCUGAGUGGGGAUUUGAACCCUGGCCUCCCAGGUCCUGGUCCCACACUCUAACUCUAACCACUACACCACACUGCCUCUCAGCAGGUGCUUAUGGAUGGGACUGGGGACUCUGAUUUUACCAGGCGUGGCAUUGCGAAAUCGGGAGUGGGAGUGUGUGUGGGGUCUUGGGCAUCCAUCUUUAAAUGGCGUUUUCUGGAACAGCAGAACCUGAGUGGGGGAUGUUUGGCUGUUUCAGGGCCCAGCGAGCGCCAAGGAGAAGGAGGGGCCUUUCUGCAAGGAGGAGGCAUCCCUGACACAGCCAGGCCAGAGGACGAUGCUCUGGCAAGUCAAAGAGGAGAACUGCGGCAUUGUGGGCUCUCUGGGUAAGGAAUAGCGUUUCCGAGGAGAUAAUCUAUGGUCCUCCAGGUGGGGCUGAGCCACAUCUCCCCUCAGCCCCAGCAAGCGUGGCCAAGGAUGAUGGGAUUUGUAGUUCAGCAACAUCUGAGGGUCCAAGGUUCCCCACAGCUGGCCUAGGGUUUCAGCCCUAACUAGGUCUACUCAGAAGUAAGUCCCAGGGGUGCUUACUCCCAGGUAAGUGGGGUGAGGAUUGCAGCAAACCCCACAAACAGUUCAGGCUGCAAUGCUAAGCGUGUUUCCGAGGGGUCGGCCCCACUGGGGAGACGGCAGCACUUUCUUUUCAUACUCAACUCUACCAGGGCCCAUUGGCUACGAUUCAAGCAUGUUUCCUCAGAGGCAAGUCUUGUGUGUUCAGUGAGUCUUACCCCCCAAUAAACAUGGUUUGGGAGUGCAGCUUAGGUUUCUUCCAUUUGAUAUUAGAGGGAUUUAAAAGAUGCUUCAUUUUGGCUAGGUUUUGUCCCAUAAACAAUAAAAAUCUGUGUGUACUAAACAAUUUAAAUGCAUUCUGCUGGCAUAUUGUUUAUGAAAACCAUCUGUUUAUUUUUCUUUUUAAUUAUUAUAUUAUAUAAGGAGAUAAAAAUGCAACAACUUAGUCCAUAAGUCUAUACUCAUCGAAAACCACAAACCAAAAUAAGUAUCCCUACUUCAUGUCCCGUUCUGCAUGUCAGUCAACUGAGAAAUAAAGUUAUAGCACAGCAGCAUAGAACUGUUAAUUUUUCUGUGGUUCUUUUCAUAUUUAUCUCUUGCUUGUUUUGUCUUAAGAAGGGGGAUGAAAAUGUCAAAAAGGAAUGUGUCCAGUGUCCAGAAUAGACUAAAUUCCAGGAAUAUUAUUUGGAUCCAGAUUCUGCAAAUAAUAACCAUUCUCUCUCUCUCUUCCCAACCCCAGAGGGGCUUCUGAUUCCCAAACUGGACCUUUCCUUCCAAACGGAAAAGGGGGGGAAGAUGUUCUUGCAGGAACCAGAGCCAGGUAAAGGAGGCUGCUGGGUGAUGCUUGCAGUUUGAGAAGAGCUCUGGGUGCUGAUGGCCCCUGACCUUCUUCAGCAGCUGCCGGGGGCCACUGUGCUAUGGCAGGGGCCACAGCCGAUACCUCCCCCUGACUGCUCCCCCCCCAGGCUAAAAAAUACCUUUAAAGAUUCAGGACUGACAUGAGAAAGGACUUCUUCACAGGCUGCAUCCUUAAACAGUGGGAUUUGCUGCCACAAAAGAUAACUGUGGCCACGAAUUUGGCUGGCCUUAGGACAAGGUAAUGGAGGAUGACCCUGUUUCUCACCUGUGCGCUUGAGUGGGGGGGGGGGGAGAUGCCUCUGAAUGCCCAUUGCUGAGAAUCACAAGUGGGGAGGGUGUUGUCGGCCCCUGGAAGAAGAGGAUGUUGGAUUCCGUGGGCCUUUGGCCUGUUCCAGCAGAGCUCUCUUUCCAUACUUAUAACCCAAAGUUAGAGAGACUCCCUUCAGGAAUCUGUGGCGGGAGUAGACAGUGAUAAUCAGGAUCCCCUGAUAACUGUCAUUGUUCAGUGUGGAACGAUUAAGUUCCCUGAUAAUGCAGCAGUUCACCCCCCCCCCCAAAAAAAAAUUAUUUGUGGAACAAACAGCCAUGCUUGCUCACUUGGCCGAGUCAUCAGGGGGUUGUGAAGAAGUGAGAUUAAUUGGGAGUCUAAGGUGUUUAGGGCUCGCAGGACAGUCAUCCUUAGUAUUGCCUCUCUCUCCAAAAAAAGAAGAAAAGUUUGGGGCAUGUUAAAUCUAUGCCUAAUUAAAAAAGAAGCGACUGUCGCUGUGGAGUCUGGAUAAGGAGAGCUCUGGUGAUCAGUCACAUGUCACUCAGCAAUGAAGAAGCCAUGAAGGAUUUGAAGUCUGCUUGCCAGUAAUGUCUUAUACAGCUUUGCUAGUUUAGUAGGGGUCAGAUACCACUGGUACAUCAUUUUCAUAUAAUUUUCUUUAAAUGUGCAACAUUCCAUAAAUUUUAAAUAACCUUUCCCAAUCUGCCACCUGAAUAUUAUGUCCCAAAUCCCUUGCCCAAUGUAUCAUUACCAACUUGACCUAUUGAUCUUUUGUAUGCCACUCUAAAAGCAAGCUAUACAUUUUAGAUAAUAAUUUAACAUUAUUUUCUCACAAAUCUUUUUGAAAUCUUGAUAUUUCACAACUAAAACCUUUAUUUUUAACUAUCUUAAAUAUAUCAUUCAUAAACAGGACUGUUCUUAAACCGAGGUACCACUGUAUUCACUUUUUUUCUAAGAUAUUGCUUCUACAGGGGGUUCUACAGGGUGUUUUUUGCUGUAAUAAGUUCUUGUAUAUUUCUCAUACCAUAAAGAUUGAUUUUCUUAGAUCAUUCUGAACACCUUUAUGCACCUUAGCUUCUCAUACCAUAAGUAUGCAUGCCAUCCAAAUCUGUUGUCAUGUCCUUCCAAAUCUAGUAAAUCUGCAUUUUUCAAUAUUAUCCAUUCCGAUAGCCAACAAAGCCAGGACACCUCAUAAUAAAAUUUUAAAUCUGGCAGGGCGAAGCCUCUUUCUUUAGCAUCUGUUAGCAAUUAAUAUUUUAUUCUAGGUCUCUUCCUUUGCCAGAAAUAUCUUUUUGCCAUUCAUUGAGGCAUCCUGUGUUGUUGAUCACCAGGACGGACUGAAAUAAAAAUAACAUUAUUGGCAUUAAAUUCAUUUUUAUAACUGAUAUUCUUCCCCCAAAAGAUAACUUCAUCCUACCCAAUAUUUCUAAAUUUCUCUAGAAUCUCUUUCCAAGUAUUUAUAUAAUUGUCUGUGAGUAUGUUAAUAUUUUUAGCUUUAAACCAUACCCCCAAAUAUUUUCUUAUGUAUACCUAUAUCUAUAAGCUGUUGUAGCUCCUUUUUAUAUUGUUCUGUCAGGUUUUUCACUAAGGUCUUAGUUUUAUUUUUAUUUAAUUUAAAGCCUACUACUUGUCCAAAUUCUUGGAUCCUCUCCAGAACCUUUGGUAAACUAUUCUUUGGAUCUUCUACAGUAAUCACGAGGUCUCGUCCUGCUUGAAGGUUUUCCACAGGCGUCUUUGUGCCCUUCUUGGGCGCUGGAGCUAAUGGACCACUUUUGUGUCCUUCAACCUAUGAUGACACACAAACGUCGCCAACAUCAUAUAGGGGAGGGAGCAAGGGGAGGCAGCCCUCUGACAGGUGGAGGGGAAAGUGUCUUUAUUCUGACAUGUGACACCACCCCGUGGAAUGCCCUCCCAUCAGAUGUCAACGAAAUAAGCAACUAUCUGACUUUUAGAAGACAUCUGAAGGCAGCCCUAUGUGGGGAAGUUUUUUAUGGUUGAAGUUUUAUUGCUCUGUAAUUAUUAUUAAUAAUAUUCUGUUGGGAGCUGCCCAGAGUGGGUAUGUUAUGUACUGAGUUGAAUAGGAUCCAAAAGGCAGCAGUCUGAUUGGUCCUAAAACAAGAGGGUCCAGAAUGAAGCAGUCUGAUUGGUCCUAGAACAAUAGGGUCCAGAAUGCAACAGAAUGAUUGGUCCACAGGAGCCACCCAAUCCAGCUCCAGGUGGAUGUGAAUCUGCAACCUGAUUGGCCUACGGGAGAAUCCCUGAAUUAGCCAAUCACGUGUGGCCCAUUGUGUAAAUAAUGUAUAUAAAGUAGACAUUCUGGGGGAACUUCCAUUCCUCCUCACCAACUAUGAGCUGAAUACAUAGCAUGAAAUCCACUCUCAACUCCGAGUAUAUUUCAGGGGUGUUGUCCACUCUAGGCAAAGUGGCCACUCCAGUCAGCUUCUCCCUGGGGUUCCCAACGUGGCCUUUGGCCCCUCCCAUUUGUAAUGAGGGCUGCUUUUUUGACCAAGGAUGGUGUGGAAGGGGCUGCGUGGUGUUGCCUGUCAGCAGUGGGGGUGGGCAUCGGGCCAGACCCCCAACUCAGGGUGCCCGGGGCAAGGGGUGUGUGCCACCGCCAAGGAGCAGGGGAAGGUGCUGGAGGGGACCGAGGGAUAAAACCAAGCCGAAGGUGGAGAGGAUUACGGCUUAUCUGCUCCCCCUGCCAAAAAUAUUUUUAUUCAAGUUGACACCCAUGCUUGUAAAGAUUGGUUUGCUGGAGGCUGCUGGGGGGGCAAGGCUGCUUUUGCUCUCUGGUCCUCCUUGCAGGUUUUGCAAAGGCGUCUGGGUGGCCCCUCUUGGGCGCUGGACCAAAUGGGCCACUUUUGUGUCCUUCCACGGGGUGAGUGGAGGCUCACAGGGAACCUAUGAUGACACACAAACGAGGCCAACAUCAUGUAGGGGAUGGAGGAAGGGGAGGUGGCGCUCAGGCAGGUGGGGGAGGGAAGUGUCUUUAUUCCAUCAUGUGCCACCACCCUGUGGGAAAUGCAGGGAAAGGUGAGCAGGCUGCACCGGUCAGUAGUCAGUGGCCCUGAUAGUGGAGCCAGAGUGAGUCCUGCCUGAUCUUUGAGAGGGGUCAAUUCCACAGGCAUGUGUUGUGCCAGCUGUUAGUAUCCCAGAAUAGAAAUCAGAUGCACCUGGUGCUGAAAAGACACUCCUUGGGGGGAGCACUGUGUAUUUGGGGUGGAGCUGAGGAA